rnacentral:rRNA from 1 species
GGAGGAAAGCAGGGGAUCGCAAGACCUUGCGCUUUUGGAGCGGCCGAUGUCUGAUUAGCUAGUUGGUGGGGUAAAGGCCUACCAAGGCGACGAUCAGUAGUUGGUCUGAGAGGACGACCAGCCACACUGGGACUGAGACACGGCCCAGACUCCUACGGGAGGCAGCAGUGGGGAAUUUUGGACAAUGGGCGCAAGCCUGAUCCAGCAAUGCCGCGUGAGUGAAGAAGGCCUUCGGGUUGUAAAGCUCUUUCAGUCGAGAAGAAAAGGCUGUGGUAAAUAAUCGCAGCUCAUGACGGUAUCGACAGAAGAAGCACCGGCUAACUACGUGCCAGCAGCCGCGGUAAUACGUAGGGUGCGAGCGUUAAUCGGAAUUACUGGGCGUAAAGGGUGCGCAGGCGGUUUUGUAAGUCAGAUGUGAAAUCCCCGGGCUUAACCUGGGAACUGCGUUUGAAACUACAAGGCUAG